CCUACGGGAGGCUGCAGUGGGGAAUCAUGGUCAAUGGGCGAAAGCCUGAACCUGCGACGCCGCGUGAGUGAUGAAGGUCGUAAGAUCGUAAAACUCUUUUCAGGGACAUUAAAGCUCCGGCUCUAACAUAGCCUGGAGUCUGACUAUCCCUGGAAUAAGCCCCAGCCAACUACGUGCCAGCAGCUGCGGUAAUACGUAGGGGGCGAGCGUUAUUCGGAAUUACUGGGUGUAAAGGGUAUGUAGGCGGCCUGACAAGUCGCGUGUCAAAGUCCAGCGCUCAACGCUGGGUUCGCACGCGAUACUGUCAGGCUUGAGGACUGGAGAGGUGAGCGGAAUUCCCGGUGUAGUGGUAAAAUACGUAGAUAUCGGGAGGAACACCAGCGGCGUAGGCGGCUCACUAGACAGUUUCUGACGCUAAGAUACGAAAGCGUGGGGAGCAAACAGGAUUAGAUACCCCGGUAGUC
rnacentral:rRNA from 1 species